UAGUUUGAUGGCGACCGGCAAACGGGUGCGGAACACGUACACAACCUUCCUUUAAGUGGGGAAUAGCCCAGAGAAAUUUGGAUUAAUACCCCGUAACACAACGAAGUGGCAUCACUUUGUUGUUAUAGUUUCGGCGCUUAAUGAUGGGUGUGCGUAUGAUUAGAUAGUUGGCGAGGUAACGGCUCACCAAGUCUACGAUCAUUAGCUGAUGUGAGAGCAUGAUCAGCCACACGGGCACUGAGACACGGGCCCGACUCCUACGGGAGGCAGCAGUAAGGAAUAUUGGUCAAUGGACGCAAGUCUGAACCAGCCAUGCCGCGUGAAGGAUUAAGGUCCUCUGGAUUGUAAACUUCUUUUAUAUGGGACGAAAAAAGGUCUUUCUAGACCCCUUGACGGUACCAUAUGAAUAAGCACCGGCUAACUCCGUGCCAGCAGCCGCGGUAAUACGGAGGGUGCAAGCGUUAUCCGGAUUCACUGGGUUUAAAGGGUGCGUAGGCGGGUAGGUAAGUCAG
rnacentral:rRNA from 1 species